rnacentral:lncRNA from 1 species
UAGUCACCAAAUGGCUUCUUGGCUCUGCUUUAAAUUUAGGCCCACUCAGCCACUUAAGGUCCAUCUUGAAGGACUGGCUCUUUCAGGGUCACAUUUGUUCAUGCAAACUAUUGAUAUUGCAUGCUAUUUACCACUAUUUCAGAUGAAAUUGCCACAGGAUUUAAAUCAUUGGACAAUUUAAGAGCUUUAAUCCGAUAUGACAUAGACAACACACAGACCAAGCCAGGCAGUGAGGCCUCAGAAGAAACACAACCUGUUGACACCUUGAUCCUAGACUUCUAGCCUCUGGAACAGCAAAGGCUUUUGGAAGCUGCCAGAGUUUCAUUCCCAGGUCCUCCACUUACCAGCAAUGAGACUUCAUGUGACCUCAGGAGAAGCUGGGCUACCAGGUCAGACCCCAGGUGGGCUAAGGCACAUAUCUAACCAGAGUAUGCUGGUCGUAACUGGAAAACCAACAGAGGCCAGGCGCGGUGGCUCAUACCUGCAAUCCCAGCACUUUGGGAGGCCGAGGCGGGUGGAUCACGUGAAGUCAGGAGUUCGAGACCAGCCUGACCAACAUGGUAAAACCUCAUCUCUACUAAAGAAAAUACAACAUGGGGGCAUGUGCCUCUGUAAUCCCAGCCACUUGGGAGGCUGAGGCAGGAGAAUCUCAUGAACCCGGGAGGCGGAGGUUACAGUGAGCUGAGAUGGUGCCACUGCUCUCCAGGCUGGAUAAGUGAGACUCUGCCUCAAAAAAAAAAAAAAAAAGGCAGAUGAGUUUUAAAGGCACAGUGCUUUUGGCCUUCUUCAGUCCAACAGCACAAGGCACACAAAGUAUCAAUGCCAUAUGAAGUCCUACUAUUAGACCUCAGGCCUCUAAUAGCACCGCUACUGUUUGUCACUGUAGCAAUCCUAAAGUACAACCUGACUCCUGAGCUGCUCCUGAUGCAGUAAAGGUUCCACCCUGUGUAGUCCUGCAUGGUGACAGAUACACCAUAACAGAGUCCUUAUUAAAAAGGCCCACAAGUG